GAUGAACGCUGGCGGCGUGCCUAAUACAUGCAAGUCGAGCGAACAGACGAGGCGCUUGCUCCUUCGACGUUAGCGGCGGACGGGUGAGUAACACGUAUGUACUCUACCUAUAAGACUGGGAUAACUUCGGGAAACCGGAGCUAAUCCCGGAUAAUAUUUCGAACCGCAUGGUUCGAUAGUGAAAGAUGGCUUUGCUAUCACUUAUAGAUGGACCUGCGCCGUAUUGGCUAGUUGGUAAGGUAACGGCUUACCAAGGCAACGAUACGUAGCCGACCUGAGAGAGGGGUAGGCCACACGGGAAGUGGGACACGCACCAGACGCCUACGGGAGGGAGCAGUAGGGAAUCUGCCGCAAUAGGCGAAAGCAUGACGGAGCAGGCCGGAGUGAGAGAUGACGAUCUUCGGAGCGUAAAGAUCUGUUAUUAGGGAUGAACAAACGUGUAAGUAAAUGUGCACGGAGUGACGGUACCUAAUCAGAAAGCCACGGCUAACUACGUG
rnacentral:rRNA from 1 species